rnacentral:tRNA from 1 species
GCCUAGUUAGCUCAGUUGGUUAGAGCAUGGUGCUAAUAAUGCCAAGGUCAUGGGUUCAAUCCCUGCUCACUGCA